rnacentral:rRNA from 1 species
AGUGAACGCUGGCGGUAGGCCUAACACAUGCAAGUCGAACGGCAGCACAGUAAGAGCUUGCUCUUACGGGUGGCGAGUGGCGGACGGGUGAGGAAUACAUCGGAAUCUACUUUUUCGUGGGGGAUAACGUAGGGAAACUUACGCUAAUACCGCAUACGACCUACGGGUGAAAGCAGGGGAUCUUCGGACCUUGCGCGAUUGAAUGAGCCGAUGUCGGAUUAGCUAGUUGGCGGGGUAAAGGCCCACCAAGGCGACGAUCCGUAGCUGGUCUGAGAGGAUGAUCAGUCACACUGGAACUGAGACACGGUCCAGACUCCUACGGGAGGCAGCAGUGGGGAAUAUUGGACAAUGGGCGCAAGCCUGAUCCAGCCAUACCGCGUGGGUGAAGAAGGCCUUCGGGUUGUAAAGCCCUUUUGUUGGGAAAGAAAAGCAGCAGGUUAAUACCCCGCUGUUCUGACGGUACCCAAAGAAUAAGCACCGGCUAACUUCGUGC